rnacentral:rRNA from 1 species
AGUGAACGCUGGCGGUAGGCCUAACACAUGCAAGUCGAACGGCAGCACAGUAAGAGCUUGCUCUUACGGGUGGCGAGUGGCGGACGGGUGAGGAAUACAUCGGAAUCUACUUUUUCGUGGGGGAUAACGUAGGGAAACUUACGCUAAUACCGCAUACGACCUACGGGUGAAAGCAGGGGAUCUUCGGACCUUGCGCGAUUGAAUGAGCCGAUGUCGGAUUGGCUAGUUGGCGGGGUAAAGGCCCACCAAGGCGACGAUCCGUAGCUGGUCUGAGAGGAUGAUCAGCCACACUGGAACUGAGACACGGUCCAGACUCCUACGGGAGGCAGCAGUGGGGAAUAUUGGACAAUGGGCGCAAGCCUGAUCCAGCCAUACCGCGUGGGUGAAGAAGGCCUUCGGGUUGUAAAGCCCUUUUGUUGGGAAAGAAAAGCAGCAGGUUAAUACCCCGCUGUUCUGACGGUACCCAAAGAAUAAGCACCGGCUAACUUCGU